rnacentral:rRNA from 1 species
CCUACGGGAGGCAGCAGUGAGGAAUAUUGGUCAAUGGACGAGAGUCUGAACCAGCCAAGUAGCGUGAAGGAUGACUGCCCUAUGGGUUGUAAACUUCUUUUAUAAAGGAAUAAAACGAGGCACGUGUGCCUUUUGCAUGUACUUUAUGAAUAAGGAUCGGCUAACUCCGUGCCAGCAGCCGCGGUAAUACGGAGGAUCCGAGCGUUAUCCGGAUUUAUUGGGUUUAAAGGGAGCGUAGAUGGGUUGUUAAGUCAGUUGGGAAAGUUUGCGGCUUAACCGUAAAAUUGCAAUUGAUACUGGCAGUCUUGAGUACAGGUGAGGUAGGCGGAAUUCGUGGUGUAGCGGUGAAAUGCUUAGAUAUCACGAAGAACCCCGAUUGCGAAGGCAGCUUACUAAACUGUGACUGACAUUGAUGCUCGAAAGUGUGGGUAUCAAACAGGAUUAGAUACCCGAGUAGUC